rnacentral:sRNA from 1 species
CCAAUCGCUUUAAAGUUGUUCCCGUGAUCGAUGCGCGCGGCUCCGAAUUUUCAGCCAGCCCUGUCAUAUGAUUAAAAUAGAAAAGAGUACAUCAUUAGAAAGGUGAAAGUUCACAAGAGACGAAACUUUCCAUGUGAGAUGCAGGAAAGGCAAAGCAGCUCAUGCUAUGAAUAGACCUUGAUCUAUAACCGAGUAAUCGGCUGAAUCAUAUAAGUGACUUGGAGCUUCUGCAAUAAGCCCUGGAUCAUAAUAUUCUGACAUUCCUAUAUUCUGCAGACCGAAGUUCAUGUUAUAACAUUCACCCUGCAGCCACUGGAAAUGCAAAUCCUCAUCCAAAGGUGCAGAAGCUGCCUCACCUCCCAAAAGAAGGUUUCUUUGGUAAAUUUCCACAUCAGAAAUGCAACUGAGGUUAUUAUAUCCAUGUGCUUUCAAUCCUGAAUUUGUAGUUGAAAUGGGUUCUAAAGAUUGAGCAUUCAUAGCAAGACUUCCUGGUUGAAUUGGAAAGGUGUCAACUGCAUUCCCUAUUGAAUUCACAGAACUGGAUCGAUCAUUCUUGAAAUCUGAAAACAAAGGUUUUGCUUCUAUACAAGCAGGAACCUCUUCCUCCGUUAUAGAGGGAGCUGAACUAAUUGAAGCAACUGACUGUGAUUGAUCAACUUGGAUGUGAUGCUGCUUACCGUGUAAUGGCAUCUGAUUGAAGCUAUCUUCUAAAUGAACAAGUGACUUGUGUUCUUCUUUGAGUUGCAUGUUUGGAACUUCAGUCCAUGAGUACUGUGUUGGCAAGGAGCAAUCAAACACUGCAUGGUUUCCUUCUGACUGGGCAAAAGGUUGAUUGAGGCCAACCCUUGAACUCUCUCUCAUAUUUGAGUCGGUGACGUUACCAGUCAAGGGCCUUCCUUUUUUUGCUAUGGUGAACUGUGAAACACUUCCCUUAUCGCCUUCAUAAUUUUUAUUUUCCACGGUAGGAAGAUGUAAUGAUCCAUCCGAAUAAUUGUAGCUGUCAGUUGAAACAUCAUUUUGUUGCUUGUUUACUGGGUUUUGAAAUCCAAAACUUCCCAGAUCUUUUGAAGGAAAAUCUGAAUGCUUCAUACCACUCGAGGAAGAUCUCCGAUCGUUUUCUUUCUGAAUCCUAAUCAAAUAAAGCCGGUAUUUCUGCACAAGAAAAUUUCUUAUCAGGAACCC